AUCGGUUUCAUUGUAUAAUUUUUCCAGAAAAACACCCUAAUCUAAGAGAAAGACAUAACUAAUUCCUUAAUCUACAACUAGUAGCCAGAUUACAAAUUCAAUCAAAAUUAUUUCAAAAAGGUCCAGAUGAAAGAUAUUUCCUUUAUCUCGUUCUCCUUAUAUCAUCUAUCAUGUCUCUAAAUAUAAUUUCUUUAAUUCCUAAAGCAUUCUAAGUUCUAACUGCAAAUUUCACAUUUCAUUUUACUGAUUAAACUUCUUCAUGUAAUGCUAUCCUGACAAACAUAACUAAGCA
rnacentral:misc_RNA from 1 species